rnacentral:rRNA from 1 species
GACCCCGUGAACCUUUACUAUAGCUUGACACUGAACAUUGAGCCUUGAUGUGUAGGAUAGGUGGGAGGCUUUGAAGUGUGGACGCCAGUCUGCAUGGAGCCGACCUUGAAAUACCACCCUUUAAUGUUUGAUGUUCUAACGUUGACCCGUAAUCCGGGUUGCGGACAGUGUCUGGUGGGUAGUUUGACUGGGGCGGUCUCCUCCUAAAGAGUAACGGAGGAGCACGAAGGUUGGCUAAUCCUGGUCGGACAUCAGGAGGUUAGUGCAAUGGCAUAAGCCAGCUUGACUGCGAGCGUGACGGCGCGAGCAGGUGCGAAAGCAGGUCAUAGUGAUCCGGUGGUUCUGAAUGGAAGGGCCAUCGCUCAACGGAUAAAAGGUACUCCGGGGAUAACAGGCUGAUACCGCCCAAGAGUUCAUAUCGACGGCGGUGUUUGGCACCUCGAUGUCGGCUCAUCACAUCCUGGGGCUGAAGUAGGUCCCAAGGGUAUGGCUGUUCGCCA